GAAAUGCGAUACGUAAUGUGAAUUGCAGAAUAUGUGAGUCAUCGAAUCCUUGAACGCAAAUGGCGCCCAUUGUUCUCCAAUGGGCGCACCUGUUUGAGGGUCGUUUUACCUCCUAUCAAACCCUCCCUCACGGGUUGGUUUGGAUGUUGAGCAUUCGAUGGUCAUAUUUUGUCUAUCGAUUGCUUGAAAUGCAGGGCGAGGAGUAGUCAGAAGCAAUGCCGGGUAUUGGGCUUGAGUCUGGAUGAUUCAAUGAAGCAUUCGUCAAGUCUGUCUCGACUUGCCUCAGCUACUCUCAUGCCAACUAGGAAAAAACCGCAUUUGGCGGUACCCUCCAAAAACCGACCUCAAAUCAGGUGAGAUAACCCGCUGAACUUAA
rnacentral:misc_RNA from 1 species